UACGUAGGGAGCAAGCGUUGUCCGGAAUCAUUGGGCGUAAAGCGCGCGUAGGUGGCUUCGUAAGUCCGUUGUGAAAGUCAAAGGCUCAACCUUUGAAAGCCGAUGGAUACUGCGGAGCUAGAGUACGGAAGAGGCGAGUGGAAUUCCUGGUGUAGCGGUGGAAUGCGCAGAUAUCAGGAGGAACACCAAUAGCGAAGGCAGCUCGCUGGGACGUUACUGACACUGAGGCGCGAAAGUGUGGGGAUCAAACAGG
rnacentral:rRNA from 1 species